rnacentral:rRNA from 1 species
UGUGCAUCUAUGACUCGAGGUUGUAAUGACUGAGAGUAACUUUUAUACACUCUUGUAUGUAAUGGAAUGUCUUUUUGUGCUAUAAUGUACAAUAUAAACAACUUUCAACAACGGAUCUSUUGGCUCUCGCAUCGAUGAAGAACGCAGCGAAAUGCGAUAAGUAAUGUGAAUUGCAGAAUUCAGUGAAUCAUCGAAUCUUUGAACGCACCUUGCACCCUUUGGUAUUCCGAAGGGUACGCCCGUUUGAGUGUCAUUGUAAUCUCACUUCUACAACUUUAUUGUUGUUUGAAUGUGGACUUGGAUGUUGCCGUUUUAUCACGGCUCGUCUUAAAUGCCUGAGUGUACCCUGUUUUGCAGCGUAUCCAGUGUAAUAAACAUUUCACUAGAGUUGGUCGAAAGACCACGUUGACUAUAUGGGCUCUAUGCUUCAAACCGUCUGCCAUGUGGACAAUUUCUUGACAAUUUGACCUCAAAUCGGGUGGGACUACCCGCUGAACUUAAGCAUAUCAAUAAGCGGAGGAAAAGAAACUAACAAGGAUUCCCCUAGUAACGGCGAGUGAAGAGGGAAAAGCUCAAAUUUUAAAUCUGGUGUCUUUGACUCCCGAGUUGUAAUCUAGAGAAGUGUUUUCCGUGUCGGACCGUGUACAAGUUCCCUGGAACGGGGCGUCAUAGAGGGUGAGAAUCCCGUAUAUGCCACGGACUACCGAUGCUCUGUGAUACACUCUCAACGAGUCGAGUUGUUUGGGAAUGCAGCUCAAAAUGGGUGGUAAAUUCCAUCUAAAGCUAAAUAUUGGCGAGAGACCGAUAGCGAACAAGUACCGUGAGGGAAAGAUGAAAAGCACUUUGGAAAGAGAGUGAAACAGUACGUGAAAUUGUUGAAAGGGAAGCGUUUGAAGUCAGUCGCAUCUGUUGGGGUUCAGCCUGGCUUUUGCCUGGUGUAUUUCCUUUCCGAUGGGUCAGCAUCAGUUUCGACCGAGGGAAAAAGACAUUUGGAAUGUGGCUGUCUUCGGGCAGUGUUAUAGCCUUGUGUUGUAUGUCUCGGUUGGGACUGAGGAUUGCAGCGCGCCAUAAAUGGCCGGGGGUCGCUCCUCUCGACACGCGCUUAGGAUGCUGGCAUAAUGGCUUUAAGCGACCCGUCUUG